UACAGAGGUCUCAAGCGUUUGUUCGGAUUCAUUGGGCGUAAAGGGUGCGUAGGCGGCGCGGUAAGUCGGGUGUGAAAUCUCGGAGCUUAACUCCGAAACUGCAUUCGAUACUGCCGUGCUUGAGGACUGGAGAGGAGACUGGAAUUUACGGUGUAGCGGUGAAAUGCGUAGAUAUCGUAAGGAAGACCAGUGACGAAGGCGGGUCUCUGGACAGUUCCU
rnacentral:rRNA from 1 species